rnacentral:rRNA from 1 species
AUUGAACGCUGGCGGCAGGCUUAACACAUGCAAGUCGAACGAGUGGCGGACGGGUGAGUAAUGUCUGGGAAAAUGCCUGAUGGAGGGGGAUAACUACUGGAAACGGUAGCUAAUACCGCAUACCAUCGGAUGUGCCCAGAUGGGAUUAGCUAGUUGGGGGGGUAAAGGCUCACCAAGGCAACGAUCCCUAGCUGGUUUGAGAGGAUGACCAGCCACACUGGAACUGAGACACGGACCAGACUCCUACGUGAGGCAGCAGUGGGGAAUGUUGCAAAAUGGGCGAAACCCUGAUGCAGCCAUGCCGCGUGUAUGAAGAAGGCCUUCGGGUUGUAAAGUACUUUCAGCGGGGAAGCGUUACCCGCAGAAGAAGCACCGGCUAACUCCGUGCCAGCAGCCGCGGUAAUUC